UGGGGAAUCUUGCACAAUGGGGGCAACCCUGAUGCAGCGACGCCGCGUGAGCGAUGAAGCCCUUCGGGGCGUAAAGCUCUUUCGACCGGAACGAUAAUGACGGUACCGGGGGAAGAAGCUGCGGCUAACUACGUGCCAGCAGCCGCGGUAAUACGUAGGCAGCAAGCGUUGUUCGGAGUUACUGGGCGUAAAGAGUGCGUAGGCGGUUUUCUAAGUUCGGUGUGAAAUCUCCCGGCUUAACUGGGAGGGUGCGCCGAAGACUGGGAAGCUGGAGUGUGGGAAAGGCAGGCGGAAUUCCUGGUGUAGCGGUGAAAUGCGUAGAUAUCAGGAGGAACACCGGCGGUGUAGACGGCUUGCUAGACCAUAACUGACGCUGAGGCACGAAAGCGUGGGUAGCAAACA
rnacentral:rRNA from 1 species